AUGCGUCCGGCUCUAGCCAAACGUAGGUCAAGCCCUGGCAGAGUUGAUGACCACCUUAGACACUCUCUUAGUGUCUCGGCAACCACAAAGAACCUAUCUGGGUGUAACACCGAGGUGGUGAAACUUCACGAGCAGAUGACUAAGAUCCAAGAGGACAUCAACGCUGGGAAUACUCGCAUGGCGGAAAUGCAAGCUCACAUCCUUAGGGAGACUGAGUGCUUGAAGGCGGAGAUGUUACACCUUAAUUUCCGUCAGCACGGGUCAGAUGCGGUACACCAGAGGAGGCAUCAAAGAUGGCUAUCGCCUAGUUUCACAGGUACAUGGUUGUUUGAUACACCACGAGAUGCAUCCAUCCCAGGGGCAGGAACUGGUACAUCAGACGGAGCACCUGUCAUACCCCAACUAACACAGAUUGUGCCUCCAAAUACAAGUCAAUUAUAG
rnacentral:rRNA from 1 species